AUUGUUGGAGCUGUAACUUGGGUUUUCUGCCCGUCAGUAUCCAAAGGGUGAUAGGUGUCUGAAAUCAGAACAGAGAAACCUGGAAGUUAAGAAGAACAGCAACAGACUGAAAAUGGGUGGGGCUCAGCUGAGUUGUUCUUCCUCUGGUUUUGCUUGAAUAACAUAUACAGCUGCAUUCAGCAGGGAGCUUGGCUGGGGCUGGAAGAAUCUAAGAUGACCUCUCAUCCUCCAGAGCCUCAUUUCAGAUGGCCUGUCAUCAC
ensembl:lncRNA